rnacentral:lncRNA from 1 species
UUCUCUCUCUAGGUUUUGGGCCAAGAGAAUUUUGAAAUUUUGAGCUUAGAUCUAGUGAGUUAGAGUGAAGCUUUGAUAGUGGUUCUUUGGGAGAAUAUCAUCUACUCGACGAGGGCUACGCGUUGAGCCAAGAACAUUUAGAAUCGGAGCAAAUUGGAAUUUCGAGCCUCACCAUUGUUGUGGAGCUUUGCAUUUCUGGGAUUUGAGGUAAAGAGGGUUUCCCUUGUGGGGUUUUACUUUGAAUUUGUU